UUCACUGAAUUCCCCAACAACUCUGAGGGGCUAGUGUUUUCCAGUCCCCGAAGAGGACGAUGUCUAUUAGGAGGUGACGUGUCUCAAAAUUCAACCGGUCCCAGCAGAGGCGAGAUCCCAACAGAAACAAGCCAAGAGACUACAGAGCUUUUCCAUCCAGGCUACGUGGAAGGACAGAGGCCAAGUCUUCUGGGAGUGAAACUUCAUCUCAGCCAGUCUUGCCGGACGCCUGUUGUGUGUUUUUCAUUGUUGGAGCAUCUCAGAGGUCACUCAUUUCUGAAUCUAAUUUGGGAGAGAUGCCUUCAUGGGGAAGUCAUUCAAACAGCUAAAAGACAAGUUAGGGAAUGUCUAGAGGGUACUGUAUUAGA